GUCUUGUUAUGAGGAGCCAACCAAAUGUACAUGUCAUUGACUGGAAGAGUGUGUACUCAGACCCUUUUCACAGGUGGCACCUGCGUCUGUAUUACAAUAUUUGUGUUCAAUGCUGCAGAGAGGAAGAGGAAGGAUUCUGACUCAAACAAACUGUGAGUAAAAAAGUGUCAACCAGCUACUCAGGCUGUAGAUAUACAUGAAAUGAUGACACAUAAAUGUCAUAGUCUGUAUGAAGCAGGGACGUCGCCUCAUUAACGUCACUCAGUGGUUCUUGUGUUGGAGUUUUGGCCUUAUUGACAGCAGAUGCCAUGUUGGAAAAGCAGACUUAACCUUAUUUUUGUCAAACUAACUCCGCUUCUGUUCAUGUUUCUCAUUGCCAUUUGAAGAUUUGACGCCUAGAGCGUAUUAGAAAGAAAACUGUUUAUGCUCACUAAACUCUGAUUUCUUCGUGGAAUCAGGCCUCUAUUGAUCAGAACUACGGAAGCAAUCUUUGACAAGGCGACAAAACUCAACAUAACACCUGUUGGCAAUCAGGAUACUGUGCUACAUUAACUGCUCAUUAACUUGAACAGAGCCGAGCUACCUUAGGGUCCACUUUCUCCUUCCAAAACCUGGUUUAUGAUUUCUUUAGACUCAUAUUCAGACCUUAAGUCAUCCAGCAAACAAUAGCAGGAUUCAAUUAAAUGCAGCUCAACGCAGUAGGGAGGGGAUUUCUGUUUUUUAGAUGCGACUUAUUGCACUUUUCAAAACAAGAUUCUGGCAUUCAGUUUUUUUUCUGUGGCAUGAGGAGGUGUAAGUAACAAAGAUGUUUCCAGCCAAGACGAUUAAACGCAGUGAGGGAUUUUUUUUAUUACACCGUUUACAACCAGGAGGAAUAUCUUUCUUUACUGUUGUGUUGAUGUCAAAUCUGUUGAGUUUAAAUAAGUUACCAGAUAACCAGACAACCAUACUCUCUUUCCUCUAGUUGAGAUCUUUUUCUAGUCCUGUCUCGGUUUUACAGAGAAGUUGUAUCGUACAGCUAAGAUUAGGGCUGUCCCGAUACAACUUUUUACUUCGGAUACGAUACCGAUAUUGUAGCCUUCAGUAUUGCUUUUGCACUCAGCUGCAACGUCUUUUUUGAACUUCAACGAAAAAUACUGCCAUACAACAUCACUCCAACUCCUUGUUACUUUGUUAGUACCUUAGUACACACUGUUGGUGGGGAUUACGUGGGCUUUGCAUGCUAGAGUGCUGCUAGAUAGGAGUGCAGGAACAGAGUCUGUAACGGACUGCCUGUGUCGGAUGACAGCCUUGUGGUAGUAUUUUUUGUUUAAGUCUGAAAAAGACAUUGCAGCAAAGUGCUAAACUUGAAAUGCACAAUUUAUGCCAAUAUCGGACAAUAUCGGUAUCGGUCAAUAUUUAAGGCUACGAUAUCGGUAUCAUAUUGGAAGUCAAAAAGUUGUAGCGGGACACCCCUAGUUGAGAUAUUCUUAACUCUUGCGAAUAAUCGUUGGAAGCAAGUAGAGCAUCGGACACAAAUUCACAUCAUGACCUGCUCAAGUCAUGUGAAUAGGCCUCUCAAUUGGUGUCAUUUGCACAUUUGGAAAUUAGUGUCAUUUGCGUCUAAUCGUGUCUUUGCAUUGACUUUACACGUAAAAUUACUCACGCUAUUGACUUUACUCACGUUCGGCGUGAACGCGACAUAAAAACAAACAUAAAACUGACCAACGGUAACGCUGACUAAAACCAGACUAAUAUGUAGCUGCUGACAUCCAGUUGGCGUCAGGCAAAAUUCCAACUUCUGAUAUCUACAUGAUUGUGUUAUAAGCAGUUAUGAAAGCAGUGACUCAACAUUAGUUAGUAAUGUGACUGCCUGAUGCACUAUAAGCCCAUCCAACAACACCUCCACAGUGAUUUUUGCCUCAUCACACACACAGCUAAAAAGUUCUUGCCUCAGACUCAAAUUGUGAGUUGUGAAAUGGCUCAAUACGUAGCUACAUUAUUCCCAGCAAUACCGGCUAAAAAAGGACACCACUGAAGAAGAGCAUGGGAAUUACAAGGUUGCCAAAUUGAAGGAUUUUGUUGUUGUUACGCAACUGACUGGAUUACACUAAAUAGACAACGCUGGGGAGAUGCAGCUCCCCAUUUAAGCCCCCGAAAGAGUUGUCUCAGCAUCCCAGCCAGAGUUUCUCAUUAUUUGUCAAAUAUAAUAGACCAUAAUAUUUAGACACAGCUGCAUUUCCUGUUUUGUACCCAGCUCGAUAAUUCCUUAAACUUCUUUGUGUACAUCUGUGUGUGUUUGUGAGUCUGUGUGUGCGGCUUUGCUUCUGUCAGUGCCUGAAUUAUGCCGCUCUUUCAAAAGCUUUUUGCUGACAGUUUGCAGUUUACAUCAGGCUGAAUGUAAAAAAGGUAUGCUGCAGAGUAUCCUUGAACCUCUUUGCUGUGAACUGCUCAGUGUUAUCCUGUGAGUACCAUUCGCUGCAGCGCCUCCAUUACACAGCCUGGACCUGCACCUGGCCACCAUCAAUGAAGUGCUUCUGAUGAAACCAGCUACAUCAGCACAGAGGAAGGAUCGUCUCAGUACACUUUCUUUAUUUUUAUGCCGUGAUUUUCAUUAAUAAAUAACCCCGACUGCAGAGAUGACUCCCUGAAAUGGGGUCGUCUCGGUAGCUGAGACCACAGCAUGACCCUCUGAGUCCUGCGUGUUGGAUGGAGGCAGCCUUAGUACACACUGGAGCUCUGGAGAAAGAAAAUGCGCAGGGGUCAAAAUGCUGAAACCGCUUUUUGCUGAAAAUUGACUUUAACUUCUGUUUUCAGAUGAUAGGAAUAUGAAAACUUUGAAUUGCAUGAAGUUACAGAAAGUAAAGACGGUCAAAGGUCGAAGAAAACCAGGGCACCCUGCGGACCAUUGCUAAUGAAAAUAUGUUCAAGUGGAGAAAAACAUGUGGUGCAUACAGCAUACCACAGAGCAGCCUCUUCAAGGAUAAAUAUGCAUGCGGCGCCAAAUUAUCAUGAGGAGUUAGUUUAGCUUUUAUGGGACACCAAUUUACACCUUCACACGCUCGAUAUGAAAGUCCAAUGGGGUGAUAAUGGCGGCGCUACAUUACGGGGCGAACUGCCGAGCCGAGACCAGCAGGGUCAAGUGAAGCAUGUGUGUGCCAUCAUCUGGUUUGUUUGUGCUCACCAAUUACUGUUAUGUUCAGAAGUGUUUCCAAUGUUUUUGGAUUAUAUUCAUACUAUCAUACAAACAUGAAUUCUUGUUUUAAAAUUUAAAGAGAAAAUCUGAGACCUUUUUCAUUAAAACAACUUUAACCUGCAAACUUUAAACCCAAGACAAAAACUUUUUAAAGUCUUGGUCAAGGUUGUGAGGGCUAAGAAACUGGAAAUUGUCUAGGUUUUUUUUUUAGAGUAAAUUGUGUUCAAGGUAACUUGAGGCGUGCAAAAUUCAUGCCUGGAUAAUACCUUUAACUUUGACUAAAACUAGACUCCUCUUCUGGUCAUUGGAAUUUCAUUUCAGUGAGCACCAAAAAUAAAAAAAACGAUUUAUUUAAUUUUUGAACAUUUUUGGUGUUAUUCUUUUUCAUGGUCAAAACCACAUCUGCCAAAUUUCAAAAUCAAUUUGAUUUCCAUUUUCUAUUUAGUUUAUCAAAAUAUAAAACCAUUCAGACACAGAGACACAGAAUUGGCCUGUUUUUCAUUUUCUGACUCUGUAUGGGGUCAAUGUCAGCGAUGCUUCCCCGAGCCUUCCUUCCUUCCUUCCUCCUCUGGUGCCGGCGCUCUGCUGCUUGCAGCUGGCGCCUUUAUUUUGUUUACAAGUCCUUCACUUUUCACAGUUACAGAAAAUUAUAACUUACAAAUUCAGGUUUCUCUGUCACCACGAUGACUGCUGUGCUAAACACACAGGGUUUCUCCAAGUUUUUCCUUUGUACGUUGCUGUUUUUCAUUUUCUCUUUUUGCAUUCAUGCCCCCUGAUCUAGUCAGUCAUGUAAGACUUCCCUUCCGUCUAAUUAUCUCCACAGCAAGCUGUCCACAGUGGCAAAGAGCUCUGCACCAGCCUGAUCAUAUUACACACAGUAGCCUAAGUACUGGCGCUCUGAGGCUUCUGGGUAAGAAGACAGUUCGAUCUCUGUAGCCGGGGAUCCAAACCGAGGUUUAGGAUUAGGGGGCCAGGAUGCUGCAGCCAUGGGGGAGCUGCAGGGUGGGCGGGAGCAUGUGAGAGCACGCUUAUCGCAAAGCAGGGACUCUGGUGUCAAGGUCCCAUCAUCACCAGCAGCAGAGCAUGAAUGAAUAUGAGGCAACGUUCAUGAAUAUUCUAUUGAGUUUUAUCUUCCUCUUCCGACUUUCUUUUUUCUCUCGUCUUUCCUCCUUUUUACGGCACUCUCCGAUUUGCUCUCUGCUACGCUAAUCUGCUACUUGCUCUUCCUCGCUUUAUCAGUCCCUGUCUUUCUCUCUCACUGUGCUGUGUCUUAGGACAUCAGGUCCUUUACCAGGAGGGGUAACAAGCGUUUCGAGAUUAUAUUAAAAUCAAGCAUUUUAUACAGACUUCAGGAGACACGCACAAGGCUUCAAAGUGACAAUGACUUUACCACAGAGCUCUCUCUCUCUUUCUCUCUCUGUAUUUGCAAAAGCAGCUGUCGGGCUGCUCCUUUUUUCUCUCUUCCAGAGGCGCUGGCUAUCCUCUGAGUAAAUCUUGGCGUCUAACUUUAUUUGAGAUAACCACAAGGAUGGAAACCAAUUGUGCUUUUUUCACAGUAAUUAUGCAGUUUGUUUCAUAAUAUUGUUUUUCUCUUUCUUUCUCACGGCUUGAAGCGCUGCCCCGCACCUUUCGCCCUCCCCCUCCUCCUCUUCUCUGCAGUCUUGGUUAGAUAAGCACACAGACAGUGGUAGAUAUUAAAAAACAGAUGUUACUAUAUAUCAGGCUGUGGUCUGAGUCAGCUUAGCUCAGCCAGAUUUAUGCUAUUCUCCUGAAAUGACUCUCCGUGCCAGCAGGAAAAAAAACAAUCACAAAACUUGUUGUGUAUUUAGACGCUGAUGCCAGCUUUGUUUUUGGUUCUUUAGUUUUCGUCUGCUCGGCUCAAAAAAAAAAAAGUGUUAACAUGUGAGUCAUGGCGAUGCUUUGUCCAAUUCUAGUUGGCACAAGGGUCCGACCAAUGGUGCCAUGGUCUGUCGGCCAUAAAAUGAGCAGAAGGGCACGGCUUUGAAUGUCUCUUCUACAGGACCCCUGGGCACGGCUACAACAAUCAGUUGCUUGAAAUGGAAGUGCAAUUGUAGGCGAAAAGGGCAACAGCACUCUGGCAGGCGCACAGAACGAGACGGCGGCCCCUCCGGACCACUCUCUGCCUGAUCGCUCCUGGAGUUGGCAGGAUCCUCACAAAGGUCAUUGUUUGGGAAGAAAAGGGGGAGAAAGGUUUUUUUUCUUGGUUUGCUUUUUUUUCCACAGGAAUGUAAUUGAUUUAAUCUUUUCAAAGUGACGAUUUGAAUGAUUGAGGAAAUUAAAAAAGACAGCCGAAAGAAUAAGUUUAGCUGAUGUUUUAUGAAGAAACAAGCACAAGAACAGCAAACCUUGGCAUAUUUAUGCAGGCAAAAUUAUUUUUUGUCAAAACCAUGGCCCUGAGCUUUAAUCCUUAAUUACAAAUGAGUGUAAUUUCCCUCACUGUCGUUUUAUUGGAUGUAAUAAACAGGAUUUGGCGCAUGAUUUGGUAGGAGGCUUAUCGUACAGCACAUAGAAAAAAAGACAGAGUCUAGUGUGUCAGCAAGUCCUGGAUUUAAAUCCACAGACCAAAUAUUUUUUAAAGAUUUUGUGGAUCUUGCAGGACAAACAACCGCAAAACUACAAAUACAAUCUUUUGAAAUUAUUUUUCCUCCCUGCACCUGACGUGCAGAGCUCCCUCUGCUAAGUCAGUUUUUAAUGAAUUGUAAACACUGCUUCUUCAAAGUAACCCCCACACCCCAGCCCCACACAACACGAGUGUGUUUGAGAGAAAAGGAAAGACUCGCAGGGCGCAGCUCAGCCAGAUUUACAUGAUUAACGGUAUCAAUAUGCAGCUGAACUGUACAGUCGACUCGCAGCCCAACAACAAAGAGUAGUAUUUGUGCUUCUCCAUGUUAUCAUGGUAGAAGUGGGAAGUCACAUCAAAGAGGUUUUCCUGUUUUCGCCACAAUUCCAACAGUUUCUGCCCGUUCUUUCACCCUGUUUGUUUGCAGCAUCCUGUUCAGUGCUGGAAAGGGUGCACCAUGUCAUUGACUAACACCAUUUACAUAAGAGAGGACUAGAGACCUGCAGUGAUAUUAAACAUGAGGACCGAACAUCCAAAUGACUGAGGUCAAAGGAGCACAUCCAAACUUUAGCAAAAUUCCAAUGAGUUUAUUUUGCCUUUUGGAAAUCUGUCUGUGACUUUGAUAACUGAGUGUGAGGUCAGCCUAAGUAUGAAGAGUCUGCAGUGAUUCUGUCUGGAGUGGUAGUUAGAGGUCAAGGAAGCCCCUCAAACUUCUAUUAAUGGAGUUCAAUGGGUUUUAGGAAUCAGCCCCGAGUGGACAAUGAUGGAACUGCAGUUUUUAGCAUUACGAAGUGGCUUCACUUCUCAAAGUUUGAGAUCUCAAGUCAAAAAAUGUCAUUAACUAUGAAAAAAAAUGUGAUUUAAAAAUCUAUGAACUUAUUCUCUAUUGUGUGACAAUGAUUCAGCCUCCAGAGAAAGUAGUCCAGCUCUGCUGCUGUUGCCUGGAUUGCAGGACAGCAUGUCAUUGCUGUCCAAGAAAAACAUGCUUCUCCAAAAUGUUUUUUUUUUUUUUUUAAGGGAACAUUAAAAAAGUUUUAUUCAUACACUGCCUAACAGAAUAGACCCAAAACACGAAAUCAAAAUCUAGCAAAACUUAUUAGUUAUCAUGUAAUUAACAGAUAACUUCAUGUUGUUACUAGGUAAUUACCUGUUAAUUAGAAACGGUUACUGAAAAUUGUUUAAACGUUGUAUCUUUCUUCGAACAAAUUCCUGCACUCUGUUCACUUUAUAAUCUAAUAGCAGUAAAUUUAAAUCUUAUAGACUCCAAACACACCAGCCUCUCUCUCUCUCUCUCUCUGUGUUCCAGCUUAUGUUUGUCAGUUUGCUGAUAAGAAACUUCACUUUCUGAACUUUGGAUCCCGUCUCUUGUCAUGAUUCUCCGACUAAAAACAUUUCCUUUUCUGCUGACCAAACCCAAACCAUCUGUCCAAGGAAAUUCCCAGCAUAUAUUUUGA
rnacentral:lncRNA from 1 species